GAUGAACGCUGGCGGCGUGCCUAAUACAUGCAAGUCGAGCGAACGGACGAGAAGCUUGCUUCUCUGAUGUUAGCGGCGGACGGGUGAGUAACACGUGGAUAACCUACCUAUAAGACUGGGAUAACUUCGGGAAACCGGAGCUAAUACCGGAUAAUAUUUUGAACCGCAUGGUUCAAAAGUGAAAGACGGUCUUGCUGUCACUUAUAGAUGGAUCCGCGCUGCAUUAGCUAGUUGGUAAGGUAACGGCUUACCAAGGCAACGAUGCAUAGCCGACCUGAGAGGGUGAUCGGCGACACUGGAACUGAGACACGGUCCAGACUCCUACGGGAGGCAGCAGUAGGGAAUCUUCCGCAAUGGGCGAAAGCCUGACGGAGCAACGCCGCGUGAGUGAUGAAGGUCUUCGGAUCGUAAAACUCUGUUAUUAGGGAAGAACAUAUGUGUAAGUAACUGUGCACAUCUUGACGGUACCUGAUCAGAAAGCCACGGCUAACUACGUG
rnacentral:rRNA from 1 species